UACGUAGGUGACAAGCGUUGUCCGGAUUUACUGGGCGUAAAGAGCGCGCAGGCGGUCGUUCAAGUCGAGUGUGAAAGCCCCCGGCUCAACUGGGGAGGGUCAUUCGAUACUGAUCGACUCGAAGGCAGGAGAGGGAAGUGGAAUUCCCGGUGUAGUGGUGAAAUGCGUAGAUAUCGGGAGGAACACCAGUGGCGAAGGCGGCUUUCUGGCCUGUUCUUGACGCUGAGGCGCGAAAGCUAGGGGAGCGAACGGG
rnacentral:rRNA from 1 species